AUUGAACGCUGGCGGCAUGCCUUACACAUGCAAGUCGAACGGCAGCACGGGAGCAAUCCUGGUGGCGAGUGGCGAACGGGUGAGUAAUAUAUCGGAACGUGCCCGGUCGUGGGGAUAACGUAGCGAAAGCUACGCUAAUACCGCAUACGAUCUACGGACGAAAGCGGGGGAUCGCAAGACCUCGCGCGAUUGGAGCGGCCGAUAUCAGAUUAGGUAGUUGGUGAGGUAAAGGCUCACCAAGCCGACGAUCUGUAGCUGGUCUGAGAGGACGACCGGCCACACUGGGACUGAGACACGGCCCAGACUCCUACGGGAGGCAGCAGUGGGGAAUUUUGGACAAUGGGCGCAAGCCUGAUCCAGCAAUGCCGCGUGCAGGAUGAA
rnacentral:rRNA from 1 species